rnacentral:rRNA from 1 species
UACGUAGGGGGCAAGCGUUGUCCGGAUUUAUUGGGCGUAAAGAGCGUGUAGGCGGCCUGAAAGGUCAGCUGUGAAAACUCGAGCUCAACCUCGAGACGCCGGUGGAAACCAUCAGACUAGAGUCCGGAAGAGGAGAGUGGAAUUCCUGGUGUAGCGGUGGAAUGCGCAGAUAUCAGGAGGAACACCGGUGGCGAAGGCAGGUCUCUGGGCCGCAACUGACGCUGAGGAGCGAAAGCAUGGGGAGCGAACAGG